rnacentral:rRNA from 1 species
AGUGAACGCUGGCGGUAGGCCUAACACAUGCAAGUCGAACGGCAGCACAGUAAGAGCUUGCUCUUACGGGUGGCGAGUGGCGGACGGGUGAGGAAUACAUCGGAAUCUACUUUUUCGUGGGGGAUAACGUAGGGAAACUUACGCUAAUACCGCAUACGACCUACGGGUGAAAGCAGGGGAUCUUCGGACCUUGCGCGAUUGAAUGAGCCGAUGUCGGAUUAGCUAGUUGGCGGGGUAAAGGCCCACCAAGGCGACGAUCCGUAGCUGGUCUGAGAGGAUGAUCAGCCCACAUGGAACUGAGACCCGGUCCAGACUCCUAAGGGAGGCAGCAGUGGGGAAUAUUGGACCAUGGGGGCCAGCCUGAUCCAGCCAUACCGCGUGGGUGAAGAAGGCCUUUGGGUUGUAAAGCCCUUUUGUUGGGAAAGAAAAGGCGCAGGUUAAUAACCCGCUGUUCUGACGGUACCCAAAGAAUAAGCACCGGCUAACUUCGUG